GGAUCCAAGAUGGCGUAGAAAGUAAUGACAGGAUUUGGAUGAAGUAAUUGAUCACUAAUGAACUACAGUGCUGGUGAGAUGUGUAAGAAAUUAUAAAGAGCUCUGAUGGGCUAUUUGGGUGACACCCAGUGCAGUGAACUGCAGGAUUUUUGUCCCUGAGUCAUGGAAGACAGAAGAGCUGAAAAGUCAUGUGAACAAGCAUGUGAAUCACUUAAGAGGCAGGACUAUGAAAUGGCCCUCAAGCACUGCACAGAGGCCCUUCUUUCUCUUGGCCAGUACUCCAUGGCAGACUUCACAGGGCCUUGUCCAUUGGAAAUAGAACGCAUCAAAAUCGAGAGUCUUCUCUACAGAAUUGCCUCAUUUUUGCAACUGAAAAAUUAUGUGCAAGCUGAUGAAGAUUGUAGACAUGGUAUGUUUAAAAAUGAGACUCGAAUUAUUGAGUUGAACAAUGUUUAAGGUUUGAUUUUUUUUUUUUUUUUUUUGGCUAAUUUCAAAAGUGAUGAUAAUGUUUGAAAAGGCCACCUUACU
rnacentral:sRNA from 1 species